CUGCCACCUAUCCUGAGGAAGACCCAGAGGCUUCCUGGGCAAGCCUGCUUCUGCUGCAUUAGCACCAGAGGUCCUGGAAGUCCGGGCAAUGCUGGAGGAUUGAGUCACCAUUUUGACUCAGCUUUGACAAAUACCCUCCGGGUGACUUUGGGAAAGGUGAUCUGAGGCAUUAUCACUUAAAGAGCUGCUUCUGCUCAACUGUCAGCCUGGGUACAGCGUGGACACUGGACAGUGAACAAAAGCUGCCAAAAGCAAGACUGGAGCUGCCCCAAUCACUGAUGUGGUGCAGUGAGCGACUUGCAAGUUCUGAGGAAGGGAAGGCUCUUUAAGCAGCCUGCCAUCCUGAAGGUCAAAGCCUUCAGCAGAAGGGCCGAGAAGAUGAAUGGCUUUGAGGGUGCCUGUGUCCUGAUGGCUUGA
rnacentral:lncRNA from 1 species